UACGGAGGGUGCAAGCGUUAUCCGGAAUCACUGGGUUUAAAGGGUGCGUAGGCGGUCUAAUAAGUCAGUCGUGAAAUCGCUGGGCUCAACCCAUGCAAUUGCGAUUGAUACUGCUAGACUUGAAUGGGGUUGAGGCUGGCGGAAUGCGACAUGUAGCGGUGAAAUGCUUAGAUAUGUCGCAGAACACCGAUUGCGAAGGCAGCCAGCUGGGCCUAUAUUGACGCUGAGGCACGAAAGCGUGGGGAGCAAACAGG
rnacentral:rRNA from 1 species